rnacentral:rRNA from 1 species
CCCGCUGAACUUAAGCAUAUCAAUAAGCGGAGGAAAAGAAACUAACAAGGAUUCCCCUAGUAACUGCGAGUGAAGCGGGAAAAGCUCAAAUUUAAAAUCUGACAGUCUUUGGCUGUCCGAGUUGUAAUCUAGAGAAGUGUUAUCCGCGCUGGACCGUGUAUAAGUCUCCUGGAAUGGAGCGUCAUAGAGGGUGAGAAUCCCGUCUUUGACACGGACUCCCAGGGCUUUUGUGAUGCGCUCUCGAAGAGUCGAGUUGUUUGGGAAUGCAGCUCUAAAUGGGUGGUAAAUUCCAUCUAAAGCUAAAUAUUGGCAAGAGACCGAUAGCGAACAAGUACCGUGAGGGAAAGAUGAAAAGAACUUUGGAAAGAGAGUUAAACAGUACGUGAAAUUGUUGAAAGGGAAACGCUUAAAGUCAGUCGCAUUAACUGGAAAUCAGCCUUGCUUUUGCCUGGCGUAUUUUCCAGCUUUAAUGGGUCAGCAUCAAUUUUGACCAAUGGAUAAAGAUGAAGGGAAUGUGGCAUCUCUUAGAUGUGUUAUAGCCUUUUAUCACAUACAUUGGUUGGGAUUGAGGAACUCAGCAUGCCGAAAGGCCGGAUCUUUGAUCACGUUCAUGCCUAGGAUGUUGGCAAAAUGGCUUUAAUCGACCCGUCUUGAAACACGG